AUGGCGACUGAAGCUGCCUCUCACAUCUCUGGCGGUUCGGAGUCAACAACGGUGGCUUUGCUAGAACAACUUACUGAAGUAUUUGGCAAGCUGAAGUCCCACACAGAAGCAUCCCUACAAUUGCAAAGUGGCAUCCAGUGGGAAGAUAUCAAAGUACAUUUCCUGAACCUUGAGAAGUCAUACAGAAGCAAGUGUGAUGAACUGGAAGGAAAGCAGAAGGCAUUAGAAGAACAGAAAGCUGGAGGUCGUAGGCUGAUUGCUGAGAAAGAAGCUGAUCUUUCUGCAAAAGAGCGUGCUUCUGUGAACAAGCUUCAGGAGCUGAAGGAUGCUGCCGUCUCUACCCUAGCAGAGGUGCGCAAAAAAUAUAAUGUCGAGCUUUCUGAGAUACUUGAUGCCAAUGGAAGCAAAGACAAAAAGGUAAAACCCCCAACCGACGACACCAAUGCAUCGCUCCCUUCAGACGAGCAUAACUCUGCUAAAGGGUCGGGCAAGCCAUCUGAACCUUCACCAGUUGAGGUUAAGCCGCGCCCUGCACUGAAGGAACUCUGUGAGCAGAUGGACGCUAAAGGCCUUCUGAAAUAUAUUUCAGAAAAUUCAAAAAAACUUGCUGGCUUUCGUGAUGAACUUUGUGUUGCACUAAAAUGUGCAACUGACCCUGCGCGCUUUGUACUUGAUUCCUUGGAGGGUUUUUUCCCAGACCAACUGCCUGGGGAUAAAAAUUACUCCGCUCAGGGGCAGCGCAGAAGCUGUAUUGUUUUGAUGGAGGCUCUAGCACAUUCAAUAGGAAUGAAGGAGCCGGGUGGCAAACACCCUUGGAGCUCUGAAAUUAUGGAGCAAGCCAAGGCAAUUGCCAAUGAGUGGAAGAGUAAGAUAGCUGAGGUUGACCUUGAUGCUUCUGAUGGCUACUCAUUGGAAGCACAUGCAUUCCUGCAGCUUCUUACAACUUUUAAUGUUGAUUUGGUGCUUGACGAAGAUGAACUAUACAAGAUUGUAGUUGCCAUUUCUCGUCGCAAGCAGACUGCUGAGCUAUGUCGCUCUCUUGGUUUGACUGAGAGAAUACCAGGUGUUAUUAACGAGUUGAUUAAGAAACACAGGCAAAUUGAUGCAGUUCAAUUCAUACAAGCCUUUGGGCUGUCAGAGGCUUUUCCUCCUGCUCCUCUCUUGAAGGCAUAUGUAGAUGAGAUAAAAGGCUCACUUAACAAUAAGGGGGAUGCCGGUGCAACUCCUUCAGUGGAUGACUUGAAGAACCGCGAGCUAAUUGCAUUGAGGGCCAUAAUCAAGUGCAUCGAGGAGUACAAGCUCCAGAAGGAGUGUCCACUUGGGCCUCUCCAGAAACGCAUCAACGAGCUGAAACCAAAGGGCGCGAAAAGGCCAUCGGGUUCUGCUAACCGCAACUACGCGAAGAAGCAGCGGGUCUCUGGCAGUGGCACUUCAGCUCCUCGGAGGCCCACUGUGGCAGCUCCCCGCAGGCCCGCAGCUCCAGUCGGCACAUGGCAGCAGCGCGCCCCUCCGCCGCCGGUGCCCGCCUACCCCGACAGGUACGGGGCCGCCGCCGACCGGUACCACUACGCGCCGCCGCCUGCCGCAGCGUAUGACGCGGCCACCUAUGCCGCCUACGGCGGCGGCGGCGGCGGCGAGCAGUACAGGGCCGCCGCCCCAAAGCCGUACCAGUACAACCCAGGAUCAGCAGCAGCCGCCGCCGCAGCGUCGUACAACAACAUACCCCAAUAUAAGGUCGUGUAUGGCGGCCCCGGCGCCCAGCCAUCCACGGCUGCGGGCGGCUACGCGCCCUACGGCGGAGGCUCGGUGGGGCAGCAGCAGCCGCAGCCUGCUGCUUCCUCCGGCGGCUACCUGAGCUACGCCGCCGGGUUCGGCUACCGCCCUUCUCAGCAGCAGUAG
rnacentral:rRNA from 1 species